rnacentral:rRNA from 1 species
UACGUAGGGGGCAAGCGUUGUCCGGAUUUAUUGGGCGUAAAGAGCGUGUAGGCGGCCAGGUAGGUCUGCUGUGAAAACUCGAGGCUCAACCUCGAGAUGUCGGCGGAAACCAUCUGGCUAGAGUCCGGAAGAGGAGAAUGGAAUUCCCGGUGUAGCGGUGAAAUGCGCAGAUAUCGGGAAGAACACCCGUGGCGAAGGCGGUUCUCUGGACGGUACUGACGCUGAGACGCGAAAGCGUGGGGAGCGAACAGG